rnacentral:rRNA from 1 species
UUAAAGUGGCACGCGAGCUGGGUUCAGAACGUCGUGAGACAGUUCGGUCCCUAUCUGUUGUGGGCGCUGGAAGUUUGAGAGGACCUGACUCUAGUACGAGAGGACCGAGUCGGACGUACCUCUAGUGUACCUGUUGUGGCGCCAGCUGCAUCGCAGGGUAGCUACGUACGGUUGAGAUAAGCGCUGAAAGCAUCUAAGCACGAAACUCGCCUCAAGAUGAGACUUCCUUUAAGGGUCGUCAGAGACUAUGACGUUGAUAGGUUGCAAGUGUAAAGACAGUAAUGUCAAAGCUGAGCAAUACUAAUUACCCGUAGACUUUUUAUC